AGGGAUUCGGAUUUGUUACCUUUGCAAAUAGUGCCGAUGCGGAAAGAGCACGUGAACGUCUACAUGGUACCGUGGUUGAGGGUCGAAAAAUUGAGGUCAAUAAUGCAACAGCUCGAGUUCAAACUAAAAAAGUUACCACAGUCCCUAACGUUGUGCUGACAAAAGAUGGUGCCAUACCGGCUCCAGCUCUAGUUUGUGUCCAAUGGCCCGAAGGUUAUCGAUUGCCUGUGGCUACGUGGCCAUUUAUUGGUGGCCCUGUGGCGGUGGGGGCGGCGCCAUUAACACCUGUGCCAACGGGAGCGGCACCAGCAACAGCCACUGCAUUAGCAGCACCAGCACCACCUCCUACGCCCAUUGUAUUAGCACGGCCGUCAACACAGCGACGAAGGU